AAGCUUUUUUGAGAUAUCUUCAAUCUACCCAGCCUACCACAGCAACAUCUUCAUCUGCAAUUAGUGCUCUAGUUCCAUCCUCAAUUGCAUUGAGUGUUCCAUCUACAUCUGGAAUAAUUGUUACAUCUUCAGCUGCUACAAGUGUCCCACAACCUC
rnacentral:lncRNA from 1 species